AAGGGCACCACAAGAACGCGUGGAGCAUGUGGCUUAAUUUGACUCAACGCGGGAAAUCUUACCGGGUCCGGACACACUGAGGAUUGACAGGCAAUAUUAAUAAUUUUAUAUUUCGCUUUCACUGCGAUUUCAAUAUUUUUAUUAUGUUAAAUAUGCUAGUCCUUUCAUGAUUAUGUGAUAGGUGGUGCAUGGCCGUUCUUAGUUCGUGGAGUGAUCUGUCUGCUUAAUUGCGUUUCACUAAGGGCCUAUAAAUUCACGUAUGUUGCGACACUUUGACCCCUCCUCUGUGUGCGUGCGUCUUUGUUUGUUUAGCUCAUACAAUUAGGUCCUGAAAGCAACGAACGUGACCGCAACCUCUUGUUGCUUUCGUAUAUAUGAAUAUAUAUUUUUUUAUUUUUUACUCACGUGAAAAAUAUAUUAUAUUAUCAUGUUAUACAUAAAAUAUAUUAUGUGUUCUCCUGAUGUUCUUACAUUACAUUGUUAUGCUGGUCACAUGAUAAGAUUUUUUCUUUUACAGAGAAAAUUUUGAUUGUGUUGUGUUGCGUGUAUGUUGUGCUUGGGGUCUCAAAUAUUUUUAUGCACAGAAAGCCUUUUAAACUAGAGGGACCGCUGUUACUUUCUUAAACCAGAGGAAGGUUGCGGCAAUAACAGGUCUGUGAUGCCCUUAGAUGUUCCGGGCUGCACACGUGCUACAAUGAUUAUUGCAGUGAGCAUCUCAUUUUWUUAUUCACACCGCAUGCGCGAGACCAUUUAUUCUCUCUUCGCGAGUGUUUUAAAUGUGUAUCUCUGCGCGCGGUAAAGCCUACUUCGAAAGUAAGCGGGUAAUCAAUUAGAAGUAAUGAUUUCCUAUAUUUUAUUUUUAUCACUCGUUGGUAUAAAAUAAUUCUGCACACAUAUAUACGGCAUCUUUACCCGGGUAGCCUUGUUGUUACUUUUUGUGCGUAUCGAUGUUUUUUUCCGUAUGUGCGAUUGUCAAUUCAUGGUGGGGACAGACCAUUGUUAAUUGUUGGUCUCGGUCUUAACUAGGAAUGCCUUGUACUGGUCUUUGGUUCAACAAACCACCAGGAAUACGUCCCUGCCCUUUGUACACACCGCCCGUCGCUCUUACCGAUGGACUUCUCUGUGAGUUUGAGGGACUGGGAACGCAUAUUUUUUUUUUCUUCACGAAAUAAAAAUACGCACACCUAUGGAAACUUAAACGAACAGUGUGGUCUAAAGGAAAGAGAAGUCGUAACAAGGCAUCA
rnacentral:rRNA from 1 species